CAGAAUGUUCCUUGCUGCAGAUGCAUUGGCCCCAUCUGCAGGUCCUCUUUGACACCUACCUUACUCUCUCCCUCCACUCACACUCUGAGAACUGUGCUCAGGGGCAGCGCUACAACUUCCACAUUGGUCUUUACAGGGCUUGAGUGAUUAUUUCAAGAACAGAACGCUGUGUGGAAACCUUUACCAUAUUUCGUUGUAUCUAAGACACAUUUUUUUUUUUUGAAAUUUAACAUCUCUAAGGUUGGGUUAUGUUUCUUCAUCAUUGUCAGGUUGGAGCUUAAUCAGCAGCACUUUUUUUUAAUGUCACACACAGUAAUGGUGAUGCAUCUCACAAUUGAGAUCAUCUUAGACAUGAUGGAAUAUGGAAUCGUGUGCCUGUUACAAGCCAGGCUCUUGUCUGGGUUCUAGAGACGGUGGAAACCAAGACAGCACCAUCCUCUAGUGGUGUUCACAUCCCACCACAGUGGAGUCAGGACUUUGAAGUCCUCCAUUGGAUCUUCUCGGAAGAUGAGGGAAAUGAGAGAGUGUGGAGAGAGAUUUUGUAAGUCCGGUCUGGAAGUGGUCAUUGUUCAGAAUCCAGCCACGUGGGUACAUGGAACUGUAAGCUGUCUCUUAGCGAAGAAUAAAACUGUGGACUGACCCCCACCCAUUUGCGAAGAAAGUACUGGGUCUUCAGCUUUCAUUGUUCAGCCGGUGGUCUUUGUGGACAACACCAGGGGCCCCUCCUGCUGAAGACUGUCUGGACUUCCUGAUUUUCACUCCUGUAUAAACCCCCUCCCCCAUUACUACCUUUGUCUCCUUGGGGAAAAAAAAUGUUUUUCACUUAAGCAAAAUAAUAACUACCCAGUAUUUGUUUCUGGAGUGAAAUUGUAAACUUCAUUGUACAUUCUUCCUGGCUUUGAUGCUUAUCGUGAAGAGUUCAGUGAAAAUAAAUUGUUUUUAUGAAAGCAGAGAAACCAUUUGAUA
rnacentral:lncRNA from 1 species